ACGACUGCUAAUACCGAAUAAGUUCCAAGAGCCGCAUGGCCCAUGGAAGAAAAGGUGGCCUCUACCUGUAAGCUAUCGCCUGAAGAGGGGUUUGCGUCUGAUUAGCUGGUUGGAGGGGUAACGGCCCACCAAGGCGACGAUCAGUAGCCGGUCUGAGAGGAUGAACGGCCACAUGGAACUGAGACACGGCCAGACUCCUACGGGAGGCAGCAUG
rnacentral:rRNA from 1 species